ACUCGCUAAAACAUUGUGGUGUUAAAAUAAAGGACUUUCACCACAGAGAUGCAGAGAGACGGAGGAGAAAACAGCAGAUUUAUUCAGCCGCCAUGAGACAUUUAUUACAUAAGGAGAAUAAAGUCACUCUGUGAGUCCGUUCCUGCCAAGGAGGAACAGGUUACAUAACAAAAUAAAAACUGAAAAUAAAAAAUAAAAAAUAUUACCAUCAGUUACACACAAAUCCCCCAUUCAAAAUACAAUAAAAUCACUGCAUAUGAAGGCAUGUAAAGUAAUCAAGGGAGAAAUUUGAUGUAUUUUGAUGAUAUGCUCAACUGACAACUGAGAUUUGAUAAUGAUAAAAAAAAUCAUAUUAUAUUUCAACAGUUUUGCCUUACAGCUGAUUUUUUAAAUAACAAUACAACCUUCUUUUUGAUGUUUGUUGAGCUCAGAUAAAGUCUCAAAGUUUAACUUGGUGAGGAAUAAAAUGUUUUAAUUUGUUCCUCAGAUCUACCAAAAACCAAAUUAGCAGACUGUCACUGGAACAACUUUUAAUAUCUGUUUUGUCAGAGCUUGACAUUAUGACUGUAAAACAUAUUGUAAUAAGAGUUUCAUAUUGGCCAAUAUCGCUAAUUAUUGAUUAGAUUUUUGUAUUAAAUAUCUAUCCUCUUUUAUCCACAGUUUCACUCCACCUCGUUGUUUUUUUAUUUUUCAGCAGUUAUGAGGCGCAGUGGGGGAACCUUAAACUGCUACUGCGUGGUUACUCAGCAGGCUGUUGCUAAGCAACCAAAGAAUGAGUGAGUUGCUAGGCAACCAAUGAGCAGCGAGUCAAUUGAUUCCACCAACUUAUCUUAACUGGCUGUUAGAGGUUGAGCUCCUGAAGUCUUUCCUCUGCCUACAUCCCCCAGAAUGCUGUGAGGUUAUACUGAAUAUUGUAUUAAAUGUAUUAUUUAUGAUUAUUGAUUACAUAUAUUGUUAUUGAUUUAUUGUUCAGUCCUAUGUUGUGUGCUUAGUAGUUAAAAUUUGAUGGACACCUCAAAGCCGAGCCUUCAGAUGAAACCAGUUAAGUUUUUUUGAUUGUUUAAAAACACAUUUAACACGCAAAGACUGACAGAAAUCAGCUUUUUUAGGGGGAUGUCAAAUCAUUCAUGCAAUAAUUAAUUUUAGUCGAUUAUCUGGAUGUUUUCUAAGCAUGUAAACAGAUUUUUCAUUUCGUGUUUGGACUGAUUCUGAAUUUUGUGAUCAAUAGUCAUAUAUCAAUGAUAUGUGACGUUCUGACAAUAUCAAUAGUAUUUUAGAAAACAAAAAGCACAUGGAUGGUUUCAUAAUAAUGACGGAAGAGAUAAGCAUCAAAUUUCUGCUUUAAGGUGAGUCCGAAGGGGAAAGUGUUUUCCAGUGUUGUUGGACUGUAAGAGUGGAUGGGAACCAAACAGGAAGAGGAAGAGGAAGGGAGAAACUGUGGUCGAGAUAAACAAAAGGAACUACACUUCAGCAGCCAGAGAACAGGUUAAAGUUUCCACAAAUAAGAGGGGGGGAAAUGGAGACAGGGACAAAAGGUCGGCAUAAAUGUGAAAUCUUUUCGUCCAUUUGUUCUGCAGGCUGAAGGAGUCUGGGAAGAGUCUUCAAGCUCACAUGUGGCGUCCAAAUGGGCCGAUCCUAAACGCUCUGCUAUACGCAGCCAAAAGUAUUCCAACUAUUUAUUGCAUUAGUUCAGGCAUCUGAGCUGAGGACUCUUUAAAUACUUCUGUAAAACCUUAAAAACUUUAACGGGAGGCUUCGAGGUCUGUUUCACACACGUAGGUUUUGGGUGAAAACUUGGAUUAAGAGUCUUUAUGAGCCAUAAAAGAAACAAACUCACACAGCGAGAGGAAUCAGAUUUUCCCUUCAGAGGAAAUUCACCAUCGCUUGUGCUGGGAGGAAGUGGGCGGUUGCUGUGACUACAACAGAGACGGGGAGAAACACCAGUGGUUUCCAUGGAAACCAGGGAUUUUCCCCCAAGUAAGUUAUCGAUACAUUCAUUACUUUGGAGUACUACCGCAUGUAUUUUUGUUUUUGUUUCUGAUUUAACUUUAAAAAUUUAAUUUAAGGAGUUUGAAAACUCAGCAAUAUUGAAAACUAGCUAGCAACUGCAAAUUAUUUGCGCUAAAGGGUCCCACAUGUCUAAAAUCAAAAGUCACAAACCACAACACUUGGCAAAAAAAAGAAAAAACAUAUUUGGAGACUUCUGCUUUUCUAAGUACCUACUAUAGUCACUUUUCAGCUUCUUGUAGCGGUUAGCUUUCCCUCAAUCCCAGUGCUAUAGAGUUGAUUUCAACUAUGACUUCUUUUUUUUUUUUGUCUGUUUUUUUUUAACACUUUAACAAUUGAAAUUAAAGCAAUAGUAAACAGGAGCUUUAAACCACCUAGCUAUAUGACAUUGCUAACGCUAGCUUCAAUGUUAAUUCCUGUUUUUCAAUUGAAUAUUAUUUUGUAAGGAAAAUAAUAUUAAACUUCACUCCUAUGGAAAUUAUAAAAGUCUCCCAAGUAUUUAUAGUUUUGUCUUUUCCGGGUUGUUUAAUUACAUGUUUGGACCAGAAAUUAAAAAUCACUGAAUGUUUAAUUUGUAACAAGUCUAGAUUUUCACUCCCAUUAAAUAUGUGAAGGUUUAAUACUUUGAAAAUAUAAGAACUUUAGUGACAUGACAAUCAGUGAACAUACACAUAUUUUAUUCCUCUUCUCUGUGUCUUUAUGGUGUUUCAAUGAACUGUUGACACGUUUGGACCUUGAUGUAGGUACAAAAUAUAAAAGAAAAGUAUAAAAUAUUUACAUAAAUGUCUUUCAAUUAUUCAAAAAUACUUGUUUCAAAGGGACUGUACAGUUUUAUUUGGCACUGCACAAGAUUUUCUUCUUACAAAGUGCUGUAAUUAAUCUGUCUGAUUAACCAAAAAGCAUAAAACCUGAACAAAUUUAAUAUAUUUUGCUUUUAAAAAAAAAUCAUCUGAAGUAAAUAUUAUAGCUCAAAGUGUCUCAAAAUAGUUUCAGUUUCACAAUAUCUCAAAGUGUUUAAAACUUUGCUCAAGACAUGAAAUACAGAAAUUUUGACACAUAAAAACUUAAAAGCCUAAAAUCUAAAACAAAAAUCUAAAUAAGCAAAAUAAGAGAAUCAGGAUGGGGUGAGAUACCAAAGAAACGAGCAAUAUAAAUUCAACAAAUAUCACACAUUAAAUCCCCCAAAACAGCAUAAAAUUACAAAUAACACAGAUUUUCUUUUAAGUCAAGCACUCACAACAUAAAGCAGUCAAACUCUACGUCCGCUACCAGGUGCAGCAUGAAAUGUCUUAAAAUACUAGAAACAUCUUAAACAGUGAUGGCCGAAAAACAUUUUUCUCGUCCCAAGCCAACACUGUAGUGGGCCGAACAUUUCUCUUUUAGAGUAAAACAAAGAUUAAAAGAGAACUUGCAGACAUGUGGGUUGUUUAUACUAAACUGGGAACACUAUGACACACACAUUCACAUGUCUGUGAUCUUUUCUACCUUUUUAUAGGACCUCUGCUGACAUCAUGCAGUCCCAU